CCCACUAUGUACAACAAGGACAUGUUCUACCGCGGUAAGUUAUUACAUAUAUAUCUUUUAGAAUGCUGCCUGUCCCACUAUGUACAACAAGGACAUGUUCUACCGCGGUAAGUUAUUACAUAUAUAUCUUUUAGAAUGCGGCCUGCCCCACUAUGUACAACAAGGACAUGUUCUACCGCGCUAAUAUCAGAAGCCCAGGCUUUCAAUGAUAUUUGUAAAAUUAAUGAAUAUUUGGUGAAAUGUGGCUUGAAAAAUUGGACUUUUGAUAAAACGAAUGAUUGAAAUUUUCUUAAAAUGGAAGAAAAAAUAUUUAUACUUCUUUGAUGGCGUCCGUCCUCUUCAUUCUUCUCUGCACAGUCAGUCAAAACGAUGAAGAAGAAAAAAAAAUCAAGCCCCAUCACCAAAGGAAACAGCUGCGUGGUCUAGUCGCCAAAAAGAUCGUUUACAGUCUUCUCGAGAAAAAACAGGGAACUUAUUUUCACAUAGAUCUAUAGGCUCUCCGUGCAAAGUUCUGUUGGAUUGGGUGACUGUCUAUCUGGAUAGCCUAAGCCUGAAAUUAUUUUUAUUACCUUCGUUUUCCUUUGGAGUCCUGUUUCGUGCUGCCAAAACAACCAAACUAAUUCUCUCUCUCUCUCAAGUUAUGUUUCUAGUGUUAAAAAAAAUAUUUGUCUACGUGUAAAGUUUCUUAAGAAAAAAAAGAGAGAUGAAUCCCACAGUUUGUGACAUUACGUGGGGGUUUUGUUCUGAAAAUGUCUGUUUCCCAAGUUUAUUGAUAAUUUAUUUAAAAUAUAUGAGGAAAAUGUAAAAAAAAAAAAAUAGAGUUAUACGUUUCGAUGAAAGUGGGUUUUAUAAGUUUCGAAUGUGAGUUAGUUUCGUAAUCAUUGAUUUUGUAAACAUGAAAUGAAAGUAUAUUAAGUUUUGGGUAAGAGUGAGUUUUAUAAAUUUUGGAUGAGAAUGAAUUUUAUAAGUUUUAGAUGAUAUGAGUUUUGUAAGUUUUGGAUAGAAGUGAGUUUCACGUGGCUUGGAUGAGUGUGAGUCUGAUAAGUUUUGAAUGUGAGUGAAUUUAGUAAGUUUUGAAUGAGAAUUAGGUUUUAAGUUUUGAAUCAGAUCGACCAAAACUAUAGAGAUUAGAUAAUGGCUGUGUCUUAGGUAAGUACUAAUGCAUACCAAACCGCAACGUGAUAUGUUUUUUCUUAAAGUAUCACAGAAAUUAAAUCCAAGUAGGCUCAGUAGAAUCGUACAUCUAUAGCGUUAUAUUUAUUCACAUAAUUCUCACUUGUCCAUGCUCCUUCGACAGAUUUAAAAUAUUUGCAAACUACAAAACAGGUUUGUUAGAACUUCUUAUAAAGUUUGUUGACAAAGUUUUCAUCUCACUACCGUUCCCUCUUCCUUCAUCUAGAGUAUAAGCUACUUUUUUUUUCUUCUUGUCAAAGCCUUUGUAUUUUAGAUAUUCGAAGUAGAGAUGGUUUCUAUAAUCCACUAAAACCCAGAGAAUGGAGGAUGACUAAAGCUGACGGAAAUGUUGUUCACUGUUCCCAUGUUUAAUGGUGUCAAACAAGAAAAUUCUGAUCUUGUUGUGAGGGAAGAAAGAUCCCUGGGGUGUUAGGAAAAAAAAAAUUUUGGAGAGCUGACAUCCAUUCCGUGAGAUGUAAAAUUAUUGCGUUCGACGAGUACGUCUCCGUGUUUUAUAUUCGAUUUCGCACGUUUUAGCAUACAGUCCACAAAACAUUCACUCGAUCGAUAAUAUUCAUGAGAAAAAUCAAUGAAGGAAAAAAAGAGGGAGAGAUCUGUUCUUAGACUUUAAACUUUCAUAUAUAACGGUGUAGAGAACGGAAUACUUGAUAAAACGCCAAGAAGUUGACUUUAUGUUUAUCAGGGUUACAGUUACAAACAAUUAUGUUUAUCAGGGUUACAGUUACGAAUAAUUAUGUUUAUCAGGGUUACAGUUAUGAACAAUUAUGUUUAUCAGGGUUACAGUUAUGAACAAUUAUGUUUAUCAGAGUUACAUUUAUGAACAAUUAUGUUUAUCAAGGUUACAGUUACGAAUAAUUAUGUUUAUCAGGGUUACAGUUACGAACAAUUAUGUUUACCAGAGUUACAGUUACGAAUAAUUAUGUUUAUCAGAGUUACAUUUAUGAACAAUUAUGUUUAUCAAGGUUACAGUUACGAAUAAUUAUGUUUAUCAGGGUUACAGUUAUGAACAAUUAUGUUUAUCAGAGUUACAGUUACGAAUAAUUUUGUUUAUCAGAGUUACAUUUAUGAACAAUUAUGUUUAUCAGGGUUACAGUUACGAAUAAUUAUGUUUAUCAGGGUUACAGUUACGAACAAUUAUGUUUAUCAGAGUUACAGUUACGAAUAAUUAUGUUUAUCAGGGUUACAGUUAUGAACAACUAUGUUUAUCAAGGUUACAGUCAUGAACAAUUAUGUUUAUCAGGGUUACAGUUAUGAACAAUUAUGUUUAUCAGGGUUACAGUUACGAAUAAUUAUGUUUAUCAGGGUUACAGUUACGAACAAUUAUGUUUAUCAGGGUUACAGUUACAAACAACUAUGUUUAUCAGGGUUACAGUUAUGAACAAUUAUGUUUAUCAGGGUUACAGUUACAAACAAUUAUGUUUAUCAGAGUUGCAUUUAUGAACAAUUAUGUUUAUCAAGGUUACAGUUUAUUUAUCACAGUUACAGUUUGUUCACUUGCUUUACACGUUCUCAUGUCAGUGCCCCCCCCCCCAAAAAAAGGUAUUUUACCAAAAAACGAGAAUUUAGUAAAUACCGUAAAAGUAAUUAUACCACAUAUCAUCUCGGCAGUAAAGACAAAUAUUGUGAUAUUCGAUCUGGGUUUUUACAUGAAACUCCUGUGAUAAUGUUACCUGCUUGCCAGAAAGUAAAUAAUGUCAACAUUCAUUUCUUAACAAUUAUAAAGAAAACACAGAUCUCAACUCAAUAUGGAUCUAACAAUCUCCUUGCGUUAUGUGUACACCAAAUGUUCCAGUUUAGUGUCUUCCUUUGAUAUCACGUGAGGAGCGAGAGAGAGUGGGGUUUCCAAAGCUUACCUCUACCAGUAGCAGUAAUCCUCAUAUUAUUGUAUCAAAAUAAAGUGUUCUUUGUUGUACAGACAAUAAAACAUGUGUUGAAAGAUUA
rnacentral:lncRNA from 1 species